rnacentral:tRNA from 1 species
GGCCAGUUAGCUCACUCAUUCAAGCAUGGCACUAACAACGCUAAGGUCGUGGGUUCAAUUCCCAUUCGGUCCC